GGUUCGGUGGUGUAGUUGGUUAUCACGUCUGUCUCACACACAGGAGGUCCCCAGUUCGAACCUGGGUCGAACCA
rnacentral:tRNA from 1 species